AAAAUAUUUAUUUUUCUAUAAAAUAUCUACAUAGAAACAGAUGUUAAGAACAGUUACAACCCAGAUAGCUUACUUUAUGAAAUAUUAUCUUAACUGAAACGUCUAAACAAAAAUGGCACCCAUGUAUAUUUCAUCCCAAUGUCUGACGUACAUUUGAAUCCAAGAACAACUGAAUUAACUGCAAAUCUAAGCAUGAACUUACCAAAUAUGAGUAAGUAUAUAUGAAAAAGUUACUUGAUUCCUAACACAAUAUGCUGAAAAAUGUCUUUUCAAACAUGGCAAUUUAUUUGACUCUUCAGCAUCAGCGAAUUUUGUGCUUUGACAAAAAGGUAGCUUGGAGAUUUACCAUUCCAGACCGAUUUAUGAGCCAUGGUCGAUUCUUAACGAACGAGUUUCGGCUUCCUUCAUAUUUAUACACGGAACUGUAAAACAGGGGUACCAUUUUAAUGUACAACAGUGAAACUUCGUUAUCACGACUAAUUUAUUCUCACUUCUGAUUACCCUUAAAUUUAAAGUAGGUUUCUUAUACUUAAUAUUGCAUGUAGUAUCUCAACAGAGCUCUAUUGGAGGGCUAUUUCUGUGUCGAUAUCUCGAAUAAUAACCGGAUCAUUUCGAAGUCGAGGCUAUUAUAACUUCGUGAUAAUGAAAUUUUACUGUAUGCAGUCAUAAAUGGGGAAUGAUCUAAUGAUAAUUUUCAUACCAAAGUAAAAAUAUAAAAUGACGUAGUACACAAAAGCAUUGUGACGUAGUAUGCAAAGCAGUACUGUAAUUGAUAAUUAUUUACAUAAUGAAAUCGAAAUUUUCAGAUUUGAUUUAGAUUUGUGUCACUUAAAUUAAAUAAAAAGAAAAGAAAAUUACAACUAUGGAAAGAUGCGGCUUUUAUAUAUAUUCAAACAUUUAUCAAUAAUGGUUUUACAUAACACGUAAAAUCAUAUUUAGAUUAUAAAAAUACAAACAAGACUACUUAUAACAAUAUCUAACCUAGAUAUCUAAAAUAUAUUCACUGAGAUAAGUAUAUAAUGAUAAGAAGACUAGAGUUCUUAGCAGAUCACAGACUUUGAUACAUGCACCUUGUCUUUAAUAUUGUCAACUCCACGUAAGUUAUAUGUAGUCAUGUUCCUCCAUCUUCCAAUGACGUCAUGCAAAAGCACUGUGACGUAAUCAAUAAUGCGUCCUUUGACUUAUCACAUGUUGGGACGUAAAUGUACAUUUGGGCGUAAAAGAGUGAAAUAAUCGAGCACACUCAUAUAAGCAAUGACUAAUAUAGUUACACUAUAUAUAAUACACAUAAAAUAUUUAAUGUAUAAAAGUCAUAUUCAUAAGGUCAUAUUUUCUUCUAUGUACUUUAGUUAAUAACUUUUGACAAAUUUUGGAGGUUUCACCAUCGCUCACGAGAAGAAUUAUCUUCUAUUAUGAAAAAGCUCUUUAGUAUUUUAAGUUAAUGACCUUUGGUAAAUUUUGAAGGUUUCAUAGUCGCUUCUGAAAAGAACCUAUCAUUCAAAAUGAAAUCUAUACGCUGUUUAAACAUCGAAAAAAACCUUUGUGAGGUUCUCAUUUUCAUUUAUUUGGAUUUUUCUUUGUUUCCUAUUUUUGAGGUGAGUAAAAUGUAAGAGGUAAAUUGAAGAGGGUCAGUUCAGUGGUAAUAUGGAAGUGGCCUCUAAAUGGCCUUGGCGACUGUGAAGAUCAGAGAUAAGGUUUUAAUUAGUAAUUGAUAGAGUUAACACCAGUGGAGGUUGUUUAAGCCUGUGGUGUAAUUAUUUGGUCUUAAGUAUGUUAGAUGUGAAUAGUUGUCAGUUCCUUCUGGGGAUGAUAUAUUGUACCUUGGUGGUCACUCUCAGAGGCUGGUGUGUAUAUAUAUUAUCAGAGGCUGGGUUAGGUCUGUAUGGGUGGUUUAUAAAUAGGCAUGUGGUCAGUCUCCAGGACUGGUAUAUGCAUAGCUGCCUGGUCAGACUGGGGGACAGGUUUAUGAAUAGGUAUGCGAUCAUCCAGAGGGCUGCAUUGAAAUAGAUUCUCAGCUCUGGUAUAAAUAGGUAUGUGGUCAUUGGGUGGACUGCCUUAAAAUAGCUUCCCGGGCUGGAUAUAAAUAGGUAUGUGGUCAUUGGAUAGGCUGCAUUAAAAUAGAUUCUCAGACUGUGGUAUAAAUAGGUAUGAGGUUAUGAUCUGUUUAUAGUCGGUUCUUAGGGGUUGUAUAUAUAGAACCUGACCAUGAUGUCAUUCUUUUAUUAGACUGUGUUGGUGUUUAAGUUUAGCAUCUAUUGUGUAGUGGGGUGAAGUAAGUGAUGUCACUGGUCAAGAAUAGUUUGCUGGCCAUAUAUAAAGGACUGUUAACUUAGAGCAGGGGCUUUUUGGACAUCGAGUGGUUAGAGGAGUUUUCAGAGUGAGUCUGGAACAAGGAGUUAGUUUUAGAGAGUUUUUAGGGCUAGUGUUUGGAGUUGGUCUUAUUAACAGAGAGAAUUUGGAUUUUAUUAUCUUAGUUUAGAUAGAGAGUAUAGAAAUGUGUAGAGUAGUUUAGUUUAUGGUUUUGAGUCAUAAUUUAGUGAUAUGUAAUUAGGAACUUUACAGAACCUUUUAUUGUGCAAUUAUUUUCUUCAUCUUGGUUACUUCUGAAAGGAAUUGGAGUGGAUUUUAUUUAGAUACUGCUGGAAUUUAUUCAACUUCAGGCUUUCUUAUUUACUUUGUGAAUUAUUUGUGAAUUUAUACGUUCUACUCCUGGAGUAUAUAUUGGUUUGGAAUUAGAUAUAUCUUGAUUGGCAAGUACUUUGAAUGAAAGUCAUAUCUUAAUAAAACUGAAGGAAUUUUA